rnacentral:rRNA from 1 species
UACAGAGGUCCCAAGCGUUGUUCGGAUUCAUUGGGCGUAAAGGGAGUGUAGGUGGUGGCGUAAGUCAGAUGUGAAAGCCCCCGGGCUUAACCUGGGAAGUGCAUUUGAUACUGCGUUGCUAGAGUGCAAGAGAGGAGAGCGGAAUUCCCGGUGUAGGGGUGAAAUGCGUAGAUAUCGGAAGGAACACCAGUGGCGAAAGGCGGCUUCCUGGUCCAGCAUCGACGCAGGCACGAAAGCGUGGGGAGCAAACAGGG